rnacentral:misc_RNA from 1 species
GAUGAAGAACGUAGCGAAAUGGGAUAAGUAAUGUGAAUUGCAGAAUUCAGUGAAUCAUCGAAUCUUUGAACGCACAUUGCGCCCCUUGGUAUUCCGAGGGGCAUGCCUGUUCGAGCGUCAUUAUAACCCCUCAAGCUCAGCUUGGUGUUGGGGCCUGCUGCACUGGCAGCCCUUAAAAUCAGUGGCGGCGCCAUCUGGCUCUAAGCGUAGUAAUUCUUCUCGCUAUGGAGUCCUGGUGGAUGCUUGCCAUCAACCCCCAAUUUUUCUAUGGUUGACCUCGGAUCAGGUAGGGAUACCCGCUGAACUUAAGCAUAUCAAUAAGCGGAGGA